rnacentral:tRNA from 1 species
GCCCGGGUGGUGAAAUUGGUAGACACGAGAGUUUCAGGUACUAGAGCUCGCAAGGGUGUAGGGGUUCGAGUCCCCUUCNNACA